rnacentral:misc_RNA from 1 species
AAGUCGUAACAAGGUUUCCGUAGGUGAACCUGCGGAAGGAUCAUUAACACUUUUGAAAGAUUUCAUUUUUCUUUUUCGAAAAAUGAAAUUUUACUUUACCCACAUUUUUGGAUGAAUUAACUUUUAUUAACCCUUUAUAAUUUUUAUACCCCAAAAACAAAACUAAUACUAUUUAUUUCUAACAUUUAUUUAAGAAAAAACAUAAAAAACAACUCUUAACAACGGAUAUCUAGGCUCUC